UUAAAGGGCCGCGGUAUUUUGACCGUGCGAAGGUAGCAUAAUAAUUAGUCUCCUAAUUAGAGGCUUGUAUGAAUGGUCGGACAAGAUGGAAACUGUCUCAAUACAAUAAAUAAAAUUUAAUAUUUAAGUAAAAAAGCUUAAAUAAUAUGGAGGGACGAUAAGACCCUAUAAAGCUUUAUAUUAUAUUUCUUUAAUAUAAAUUGUAAUGUUAUUAACUUAUUUUAGAAAAUAUAUUAUUUUACUGGGGCGGUAAAAGUAUAUUAAAGAUUAACUGCUUUUGUUUUGUAUAACAAUUAUAGUUGAAAAUAAAAUGAUCCAUUAUUAAUGAUCAUAAAACCAAGUUACUUUAGGGAUAACAGCGUAAUUUUUUUUGAGAGUUCUUAUCGAAAAAAAAGUUUGCGACCUCGAUGUU
rnacentral:rRNA from 1 species